UUAUUAAAUUAACUUUUUACUCCGACGUAAGAAUGCAGUGUUUGAUGACCUCCGGGGGGAAUGCCGCUCGCACGGCAGGGUCGCCCCCGAAGCAACAUGAUGGGUUCACAAAGGGUUGGAGGUCGGGAUUGCUCCCUCACUCAGUAAUGAUCCCUCCGCAGGUUCACCUACGGAGA
rnacentral:misc_RNA from 1 species